rnacentral:rRNA from 1 species
UACAGAGGGUGCGAGCGUUGUCCGGAAUCACUGGGCGUAAAGGGCGCGUAGGUGGCGACCCAAGUCGAUGGUGAAAGCUCGCCGCUCAACGGCGAGUCGGCCACUGAUACUGGGUUGCUGGAGCACUGUAGAGGCAGAUGGAAUUCCGGGUGUAGCGGUGGAAUGCGUAGAGAUCGGAAGGAACACCAGUGGCGAAGGCGGCUACCUGGACAGAUACUGACACUGAGGCGCGAGAGCGUGGGGAGCAAACAGGG